rnacentral:rRNA from 1 species
GAUGAACGCUGGCGGCGUGCCUAAUACAUGCAAGUCGAGCGAACGGACGAGAAGCUUGCUUCUCUGAUGUUAGCGGCGGACGGGUGAGUAACACGUGGAUAACCGACCUAUAAGACUGGGAUAACUUCGGGAAACCGGAGCUAAUACCGGAUAAUAUUUUGAACCGCAUGGUUCAAAAGUAAAAGACGGUCUUGCUGUCACUUAUAGAUGGAUCCGCGCUGCAUUAGCUAGUUGGUAAGGUAACGGCUUACCAAGGCAACGAUGCAUAGCCGACCUGAGAGCGUGAUCGGCCACACUGGAACCGAGACCCGGUCCAGACUCCCACGGGAUGCAGCAGUAGGGAAUCUUCCGCAAUGGGCGAAAGCCUGACGGAGCAACGCCGCGUGAGUGAUGAAGGUCUUCGGAUCGUAAAACUCUGUUAUUAGGGAAGAACAUAUGUGUAAGUAACUGUGCACAUCUUGACGGUACCUAAUCAGAAAGCCACGGCUAACUACGUG